CAGCCGCCGCGGUAAUACCGAGGGAGCAAGCGUUGUCCGGAAUCACUGGGCGUAAAGGGCAUGUAGGCGGGCUUUUAAGUCAGAAGUGAAAACCGUCCGCUUAACGGAUAACCUGCUUUUGAAACUGGGAGCCUUGAGAUUUGGAGAGGUAAGCGGAAUUCCAGGUGUAGCGGUGAAAUGUGUAUAUAUCUGGAGGAACACCGGUGGCGAAGGCGGCUUACUGGCCAAAUUCUGACGCUAAAAUGCGAAAGCGUGGGGAGCGAACAGGAUUAGAUACCCUGGUAGUCCACGCCCUAAGCGAUGGAUACUAGGUGCUGGGGGAGUCGACCCCCUCAGUGUCGAAGCUAACGCAUUAAGUAUCCCGCCUGGGGAGUACGAUCGCAAGGUUGAAACUCAAAGGAAUUGACGG
rnacentral:rRNA from 1 species